UCAUUGCAAUCAGAAAACGUAUGUUGGCCGAUCAAAACCCUUGCGGGUGAUGUUGCUCAAGAUCAGUAGUGUACAUAGGCAACUUCAACCCAAUGUAAUGCGGAGCGCGUUCCAGCUCUUCAACACAAUCGGCUGUAAGGAGGUUACGUUCUGCGUUGUUCAGUUUAUAUAAGAAUAUCAAAUUAAAUUAAUCUAAGAAAGGCUUUUCCAGGCAGUUUGAAUGUAUAUUCUUAUUCUGUGCAGAAUCUGUGUCAUUUGACCUACAACACAAAUGCGCAUCAUGACUUCAACAAAGGCAACUUGGAACGUACUCGUUCCUCCCAUGCUCCCACUCUCUUUCCCGCUCCAAAUAAAGACCCUUCACACCUACCACCCUUCUAUUCAGACCUACGGCUGACACCUUUAGUCCCUCUCCAUCCUCUUGAUACAGCCUCUGGCUGCAGUUUAAAAUGGCUCCUGGCUCCACCCGUAAGCUGUGUCCUAGUUGUAACACAUCAAUAGGAGUAGCAUCAAAUAAGUGCAAGUUCUGUGGUGCAAUAAUCCAGCUAAAGGUCAAGUUAGAGGCCCAAAAAAUGAAGGCAACAAAUGAAUGGGCAAAUAAGACAAUGAAAAAUGGAAGAUAUGCAACCUUGGUUAAUGCAGCAAACAAGCUGGUACAUAGGUUCCACAAGGUAGGAGUGUACCCCCUGCUACUCCUCAGCAAGAGGAAGAAGGAUAACAUUUUGUCAUCAACUGCACUGUGUCCUCAGUGGUAUGAUGAAUCAGACCUCAAUGGCAGCAAUCCAAAGGUUGUAUGCGGCAAUUGUAAAAGGAGACCAGCUACACCCUCAACAUCACCCAGGUUGAAACCCCGAUAUCCCCCACCGCCCAGGAGACCAGCUACACCCCCAUCCUCAACCAGGUUGAACCCCCAAUAACCCCCACCGCCCAGGAGACCAGCUACACCCAAACCAAACCAAAGAAGACGGGGAGAAAGUCCUAUCACCCUCAAAGAACCCUCCAACCCGCUGAGCAUGACACAGUCAACCCCAUCCAACCCCGACCAAGGAAGAGGAAAUAUGACUACAUGCAAAAAGAGUGUCCAGUGCAUCCGGGGCAAACGAUUUUCCCUAUUCUCAAGAUUCUUGCCAAUAGAACUUCAAAGGAGGCUAAUCCUAGUGCAACACCAAUUGUAGUUAACUUGCAGUGCAUAGACCUUGUAGUUAAAGUGGCAAUAUGUAACUUUUUGGGUGGCCCGACCAAAUUCAUAUAGAAUUGUUAGUUACAGAUCAUCAUUCUACUUGAAAGCAAGUCUAAGAAGCGGUAGAUCUGUUCUACUGUGUGCGUUAUUUAUAUGCUUCCCGUUCUUAAGUUUUGUUAUU